rnacentral:rRNA from 1 species
UACGUAGGGGGCAAGCGUUGUCCGGAAUUAUUGGGCGUAAAGAGCUCGUAGGCGGUUUGUCGCGUCUGCUGUGAAAACUCGGGGCUUAACCCCGGGCCUGCAGUGGGUACGGGCAGACUAGAGUGCGGUAGGGGAGACUGGAAUUCCUGGUGUAGCGGUGAAAUGCGCAGAUAUCAGGAGGAACACCGGUGGCGAAGGCGGGUCUCUGGGCCGAUACUGACGCUGAGGAGCGAAAGCGUGGGGAGCGAACAGG